UAUUGCAUAAGUUGAAUAAAAUCAGAUUAAAAAAAAAAAAGGCAAUAUAACUACUCCCUCUCUCUCUAUUCAAAACAAAAAAUUUGCAAUCAAUCCACCGGUCUUGUUUUUUCUUCAACAAUCCCAAUUCAUUUCUCCAAAAUCGAUUGAUUAAUCCUCAAAUUUCACAAAGCACCGGGAAUUGGAGCUCGAUCUGUGGCGGUUCGGCCUGAUUAUAUCCCACACGGAUCGAUCUGCAAUCGCCCAUGUCAAAUUGUUCUCCUAAAUCCAGUGGCAAACCUCUAUUUUCGGAUCCUCGAGGCCGUGGCAAAUUGUUCUCCUAAAUCCGAGUCGAGGAUCAAUCUGCCACGUCGACACGUCUUCAUGGAGCCCGCCCCGGGGAAAUAGAGGUGUGCCACUGGAUUUAUGAGAAUUUGACAUGGGCGAUCGCAAAUUAAUCAACUACUACUAAGGGGCUCAGGGAUGAACAGAUAAUUUUGAUCCAAGAUUUGGAGAGGAAAGAGACGAAGUUUAUGAGACUAGAAAGGAAUAAGAUUGUGGAUGAUAAAUUCGCCAAAAACACGCUAUUUUGUAGACUGAGAAGCUACGUGAUGCUCAAUAUUAUUAUAAGUUGGUGUUAUAAGAAAUAUAUGAGUAUUGGUGUA